CGCUGUGAACUAAUCAGGUGGGAGGGACGCGGUCAGUGGAUUCUGAGCGUCCAUAGCCUGAAGGUUUGGACAGGUAAAGCGGUUUUCUCAAUCAGAACUAGACACAGAGCAAUCUCUACAGCAGAGAAUCUUCUCUGAUUUUUGUGCAUUAAUAUUUUCUGAUUCCCUUACACGCCCACUGAAUUGGAGAAAAGUCAUCACCUACACCACUGAAGAGAGAACCAUAGUCAUUGAAGCCGAACAGAAGUCGUCUGGCUGGUCGGGAGAAGGCGUUCCGAAUAUUGAAGGACUUCCUCCACGCAGCAACACAGUACAACCAACAACGACACCAAUGAAGAUGGCCUCUCGUCAAAAAAACACAAGAGGGAGAUACGCCAUGGGACCACUUGGCCAGGGAAGAGCUAGGCGUCCUCUGAACGGGAUACGUCUCCAGCUUGUGACACUGGUGCUCCAGAGAGAUCGACCACGGCUACGUAGACUGCUCCCCACCUGAGAGUCGAAUUCGCACGAAAUGGCUGUUGUGGUGGCAUCGUACAACGUACAGGGACUCAAUGAACCUUGCAAGAGAGCCCAGGUACUGUCUCUGCUUCAGAAAGAAAAGGCGUCUAUCAUAUAUCUGCAGGAAACACACUUCAAAUCCGGUAAGGUGCCCAAUCUCUCUUCUACUAGAUACUCGCACUGGUUUCACUGU